UACGGGGGGGGUAAGCGUUGUUCGGAAUUACUGGGCGUAAAGGGCGCGUAGGCGGCUUGGUAAGUCAAAGGUGAAAUCCCUCGGCUCAACUGAGGAAUUGCCUUUGAAACUGCCUGGCUCGAGGCCGGGAGGGGGUAGCGGAAUUCCCAGUGUAGCGGUGAAAUGCGUAGAUAUUGGGAGGAACACCGGUGGCGAAGGCGGCUACCUGGACCGGUUCUGACGCUGAUGCGCGAAAGCGUGGGGAGCAAACAGG
rnacentral:rRNA from 1 species